AUGGUCCUUGAAGUAUUUUACCCCAUUCUUCAGCCCAAAAAAGGCUCCUAGAGUAGUUCUGCAAAGAUAAAUAAUAAGGCAAUCUCUAUUCUCAGGCUUACCAUAUAAAAGACAUGUCACAAAAAGGAGGAGUGGGAGGGAGGAGGCAAACAAACGCAACCACUAGUUCUCAACUACAAAGUUCUUGUAAUGACCAGGAGGAAUAGCAGCAGUUCAAGGAGAGGCAGAGUUAACAGUAGCUGGUCUUUCAGCUAAGCUAAUAGAAUGAACCCGCUUCCCUUUUCUUCCUCCCGCUGCUGCAUCCUAAAGAAACAGGCUAUCUUUCUGGUUUGAGCAAGGAGACGACUCGACUGCUUAUUUUUGUAUUUCACUUUCUAUGCCCUGCCUUCCUGUGAUAAAACCCAACUGAAGAUGGUUCCCACCAAAAAAAAAUAGCUUUCACUAUUCCUACAAAUAUUGAAAGAUGUCUUGAGAUGUGGGGACCUUGGCUUUCUUAAGUGGUCUAUGGGCAAGUUCACCCACACCUAAAUACAUCCACCUCUAAAACCAGAACAAGUCUCGUGCCUCACAGGGUUUUUUUUUAUUGAGAUGAAUGAGGAUUGUUGUAAACCAUUUUGCCCAUUAAUGGUGCCAUGUAAGCAAUCAUUGAAAGCAAAGCUAUGCAAAUAGAGAGAGUAGUAUGAAAUUUAUGAUUAAUAGUGCUGACAUCUCAUAAUUCAUAAUGUAUAGCAAUUAGGUGUAGGCACCGUUCAGUUAUAAAUUUCAUAACAGGAAAUGGCAUAGUUGUAAACACUUAUUUAAAUGCAGCCAAUUUCCACUCUCAGAUGGCACUUGACAAGAGGGUAUGAGCUUAAUAAUAUGAUUUCCUUCCUUUCCUGAGACAGAAACCAGUUUCUCAGUUCAGUCAUUGAAAGAAAGAAGUGCUGUUUAUUGGAACAAAAAGGAAAGGCUAUCUAAUUUUAAACUCCUGCUACAUUAAAAAUUAUUCCAACUCCUUAAAAAAACAACAACCGGGAACUGUAUUAGUGAACAGAUGUUUCCAUUGAGCUGUCCACAAUGGAUUCCCUGGGUUUUUCUUCCUGGAUAGUUAACAUUUAAUUUAAAGCUAAGCUACCUGAGUAAAUAGUCAGUUUGGUUCAAUGUGCACUAUGUUUUAUUUGUCAACUCUGAAUAUCAUCUGCCAUUCAAAUUGCCAGGUCCCACUGCAGUUUCCUAGUCUUGAUUAACUUCAUAAUUUAUAUUGUAAAAAGGCAUCCAAAUGACUUGAUUUGUGCAAUGAAGAUAGGGCAUUAACAUUCUUUCUUUCCUUCUCCGUAUGGAAAACCUCAGUUUCUGCAAGAAGAAAUGACCCAUGAGACUUUUAAACUGAUCUUUGUGAAGAUGUUUAAAGUGAAAUAUUCAUGGUGUUUGUUGGAAUAAUAAAUUAAAAAUUUGCCAACAAUUUGCUAACCUUUAUUCUGAUAUUCAUAGAAUUGUAGAGUUGGCAGAGACCAUGAGGGUCAUUGAAUCCAACUGUAAGGCAAGAGUCUUUUUGUCCAAUGUGGGACUUGAACCCACAACUGUGAGAUUAAGUGUUUCAUGCUCUACAGACUGAGCUAUCCACUUAGCAGGAUAUUAUUCUCAGACGGGUUCUCUCCAAAAUCCAUUGUGAUGAGGUUUGCUUUACACAUUCUUGAGAAAUAAUUCUUUAUUCUAAUACUAUGCUGGCACUGAUAUUCGGUUCAGAAUGUUUACCCAAUAUUUAUUUAGUUCCAUUGGGUUAAUUCUGCCCCUUCUUCCCCAUUGGCGUUUAUACUUUUCAAACAACUGGCUGAUAUUCUGCAACAACUGUAUGGUGUUGGAAGGAGCAUUUCUUUGUUGUUUUAUCAAUUGCAUUACCUUUUAGUUUCCAAAUUGAAUUCAUUUCUGCCUGUGUUUCGAAUCUUUUCUCACUAGCCAUUUCAUUUCCCCCGCUUUAUUUGUAACAUUUCUUCCAGCUUCCAUAGCACCUGCAUUUAUGCCUCCUUCCAAAUACUGAUGGUGAUAGAGACUGACCUUAACAUUGGUUUCAUUAUACCCUUAUGAGGUAUCUGUGGUCAGCUCAUUGUGUGUGUAGUUCUUUUCAUUCCUCUUUAUUCUUUUUUAUUUUAACCUGCGUCACACUUUUCCUAUCCCUGCCAGUUAAACUCGGGGCUACAACAAAGAGCCUUGGAAAGGGUGUUAAUUCAUCAGUCUGUGCUAGGAAUAGAAGUUGUACUGAUGGAAUGGGGAUUGCCUAAAAUAUCCUUUUUUUGCCUCUGAGAGCUGUUCUACCCAUUACUCUUAGCACAUGAAUGCCACCAGCAAAUGUCCUCCAGCGUAGAGUCAGAAUAGCUUAGAAAACAAGCCACAUUAUUUCCGAUUUGGAGUGGGAGGGCGAGCAAUAACUUUGCACAAUUUUUUCUGCAGCAUUUUGUACUAGUUGGAGCUUCUGAAUGUUUUUCAAAAGUGACCCCAUAUAGGAUGUGCUAUAGUAGUUCAAGCUAGAAGUAACCAAGGCAGGUAUCACCAUGGCUAAGUUGUGGGUGGUGCAGGUCACUGCUGUCAGUUACUGCUGUUCAAUUCUACAAGAGAAUAUACUCUACCCACUGAAUUUCAGCCGAAGAGCAGUCAGAACCUUGUGGAUCAUUUUUCUCAUGGAAGACCUUAUCUGUUAAAGAACCCACCAACAUCAGGCUCAACUCCAGAUACCAAAAAAAUCACCCCAAGCGGCAGCUUGUUAAGUCUGACAGUUCUUCCACUUUAUGAGUCUCCAGGACACCUCUUCCAAUUACAUCAGCUUCUGAAUAGUGCAUGGAUAGCAUAAUCAAAAGCAGGAGUGGACAAUAGUGUGGCCUGCAAAUGUUGUUGAACCACAACUAUAAUCUUUGACCAUUGGCCGUUCUGGCUAGAUCUGAAGGGAGUUGGAGUCCAAAAACACCUGGAGAACACCAUAUUUUCUACCCCUGGUCAGGAGAAUACAACCAUUUCUUUUGUAGCAAUCAGAACAUAAAAUGGAUGGCUUAUGUUGUAAAUUUCAUUGGGAGAAAAGCAAUGACAAACCUAGACAGCAUCUUAAAAAGCAGAGACAUCACCUUGCCAACAAAGGUCCAUAUAGUUAAAGUAGUGGUGUAUGGAAGUGAGAGCUGAACCAUAAAGAAGGCUGAUCGCCGAAGAAUUGAUGCUUUUGAAUUAUGGUGCUGGAGGAGACUUUUGAGAGUCCCAUGGACUACAAGAAGAUCAAACCUCUCCAUUCUGAAGGAAAUCAGCCCUGAGUGCUCACUGGAAGGACAGAUCCUGAAGCUGAGGCUCUAAUACUUUGGCCACCUCAUGAGAAGAGAAGACUCCCUGGAAAAGACCCUGAUGUUGGGAAAGAUGGAGGGCACAAGGAGAAGGGGACGACAGAGGACAAGAUGGUUGGACAGUGUUCUCGAAGCUACCAACAUAAGUUUGACCAAACUGCGGGAGGCAGUGGAAGACAGGAGUGCCUGGUGUGCUCUGGUCCAUGAGGUCAUGAAGAGUCGGACACAACUAAACGACUAAACAACAAAUGUUGUAAAUGUUUCAUUCGGUCUCCACUUCAUUCUAUUUUGUUUUCUGGCUAUCACUUCAUGGUUUGGCUCAGUUUACCUGGUUGUGAGCCAGCACUUUAGGCUUUUCUUUCUUUCUUUCGUAAUGUCCGUCUCUGUACUAGCUGACUAGAUGAGACCAUGGAUAGCACUGGAAGCCCUGGCUCCAAGGGAGACGGAACGUAAUUGUAGCAGAUGAAGGGCACUCUCGGUAGCUUUUCCAAGAGUGCUGAGAUUAGACAGUAAUCAUUGUUUGUAAGCAGACAAGAAGAAGGGGUAAUCAGCCUGCCAGCCCUGACUGAUUAUUCAUGGAAUUAAUGUGAGCAGCUUAAGAACUUGCACUUGUGUAAAGCCGCACAAUUAUCAGCAAACCUUCUCUCCUGGUGCAGCAGCACCAAGCAAGGAAGACCCAUCGCCAGACAGGUGGAAAACUAUGGCUGCAGAAAAUGCUGAAGAGUUGAGAUCUGGAUCAUUAAAAACUAUAUGUUAGUCCAGACCAAGUGAGUGUUCUGAAAUCAAUGGGCUACAUUCGUCAUGGCCAACUUAAGUCAGGCAAGCACAUGCUCUCCUUUAGAGACUUUUUACCACAAAGCUUUUCUUUAUGCUUUAUUGAAAAUAAAGAAAAUAUUACAAACAAGCAUAUAUAUAGUCGAAACAAAAAUACAAAAAAAGUUAACAACAUUUGUUCUCUAGACAUUCUUCUUAAUUCCCCAGUGACUUCCUGCCACCCCAUCAUGUAUUUACUGUCUAUUUUACCUGGUGCACUGUUUUAGAUCUUGCUUUUCAUUGCUUUCAUGAUUCCAAAGCUGGAUACACAAAGAAAAACAAAGGGAACACCCUGUGGUACCUGUAGACACAAAGUUCCUUAUAACUGAUUUAUCUCUCCCCGCCCCCCACCGCCUCCACAUGAAAGUUUGUUUAACUCCAGGAAAUUUAGUGAUCUUGGAUUUGUCCAUAUUGUCAUGAUCCGUGAUCCUGGAACCUUCCAGUGCGGAGUAACCAACUUGAAUGAGGAUGAGACUCGAGCUUCUUCUUUGGAGGGGAGAACUGGCAGACCCAUAUUUGUGUCCCUUCCAGCCAGCGGAAACAGCCCUUCCACCAUUUCUGGACUCGGACUAUGAGACCCCUGAUGUACAGUGGUACCUCGGGUUACAUACGUUUCAGGUUACAGACGCUUCAGGUUACAGACUCCACUAACCCAGAACUAGUACCUCGGGUUAAGAACUUUGCUUCAGGAUGGGAACAGAAAUCGUGCUCCAGCGACGUGGCGGCAGCUGGAGGCCCCAUUAGCUAAAGUGGUGCUUCAGGUUAAGAACAGUUUCAGGUUAAGAACAGACCUCUGGAAUGAAUUAAGUACUUAACCCAAGGUACCACUGUAUUUCCAUCUCUCCAGCUUCUCAGAGACUGUAAAAUCAGGCAAGGGCCUUUAGCAACUUAUCCAACUUCUUUAGGGAAACAGAGAUAAUUACAUGGCAGGUCUUUUCAGCCAAUAUAAGGUUUCACCUCCCUGCUGGGACAGCAUUUCCUUUCCCUAGCAAAAGAGAGCUUCUGUCAACAUGACUGAACCUAUUCCAAGGUCCUGUUCUGGUUGCCCUCUGCAUAAGAGAGGGAACUGCCAUGAUCUGCCCUUGGCAGCCAUACCUUGACAUAUUGCUUGCCUUGACUGGUGUUUACUUGCUUGGUUUGACCCAGAUUUGACUUCACCAGAUACUACCUCUUCUCCAUUGAGCCUCAAGCUCCCAUAGAACAGGAUACACAUUGGAUGUGACAUAGAUCAGAGGCUUUUACAGACAUCCCUAUUGUGUCUAGUUCAGUUUUCUGUGGCCUUAGAGACAGAGUGGAUUUAUUGAUAGGAAACAGCCCUUGCUGUGGAAGAGCAGGAAUUGGUUAGAGUUUCCCCAAUUCUUUUUGUUUUUGUUUUAUUUUAGAUCAGCUCAAAAUGUUGGCAACUAAUAUUCUUUGACAAGUCUUGGAAGAUACCGCACAUGAGGCAGAAGCAAGGGAAAUUUCAUAGCUUUCUGAGAAAUGUUGCAAAUAAGCUUGGAAUCUCAUCUGUAAUUAUGAACACUGCAGGUAGCCAUGAGUGCAAUUCAGUCAUGAUACAAAGCCAAGCACCCAGCAAAGCAGCUCAGUGUUCCUCUGAUGUGAAAUGAGAAGAGCAAUUAAAUAACCGUCUCUGAAAAUUCAGCCAGAGAAUCAUCCAGGGGAAAGGAAGGGCCUUU